UGGGGAAAGAGCCUCUUGGAGAAGUUGAACCAACAGAAGUCAUACUGUCUUGGAGAUCUGGAAUGUGUGAGUCGACUGGUCAGUGUAGAACCAAGGAAUGUGCCCUUGCAUGGAAAGUUCCCUCUCCCUGGCUAUUUUCAUACACUUUCCCAGUUCUAACAUCUCAAAGGAAUGUCUGACAUCAUCUCUGGGCCAUUGCCAGUCAUCUUGACUAAUGUCUUGCCACUG